AACGUAGGAGACAAACGUUAUCCGGAGUUACUGGGCGUAAAGGGCGUGUAGGCGGUUCGUUAAGUCUGGCGUGAAAGCUCUCGGCUAAACCGGGAGAGGUCGUUGGAUACUGGCAAACUAGAGGACGGUAGAAGCGUGUGGAAUUCCGGGUGUAGUGGUGAAAUGCGUAGAGAUCCGGAGGAACACCAGUGGCGAAGGCGACACGCUGGGCCGUACCUGACGCUAAAGCGCGACAGCAUGGGGAGCAAACGGG
rnacentral:rRNA from 1 species